AGGUAAACAGGAUGUAGCAGCGAUCAGAAUGUGGCCUAUGAUUAUUUUAUCUGAUCUAUUAACAGACUCCGGGAGUUUUUUAAAUAAGGCUAGUUCCGAGGUUAAGAUACUAAUGGUUCCGUUCACUUUAAUAAUCAGAUCGUGGAUCAUUUUCCAAUAAUUAAUUAACUUGGGGCAGAACCACCAGAUAUGGGCCAUAUUGCCCACUCCCCCACAAUCUCUCCAACACCGGUCAGAAUACAUAUUGUUCAUGUUAUGUAAUCUAGACGGAGCCAGG